GGGUGCUCAUGGUGGCCUCCAAAUAAAUACAUGGACAGGCUGCUAAAGAGGGUCAGGAUGAUGGAGAUGCAAGAGCCAAAGACAGCACGGACCAAACACCAGGCCAGAAUUCUGCAUGAGUCAGCUGUAAAAAACAAAAGAAUGAAACAGUACCUGCAUUUUAGUUUCCAGCCUUUUUCACAAAGUUGCCGACAACUGGAAGAAUGUCCCAAAUUGCUGAAAAAAGAAAUUCAAUUGAGUAAUUUUCACUCUAGAGACCCUGGGGUGACCACCAAGGACGAAUGAAAACUCCAGUGAGUGUCUCUAAGGUAGAUCCUAAUGUAGAUGGAUGGAAUGUUGAUCCGCCUAACAUGCAAGAUUUUCUGUACCGAGAACUUUGGAUGACCAUCAAGACAAUCACUCGUUUUGAGUCCUGAGACCCUGGGGUGACCACCGUGAACAAAUACAGACUGCAAAAAGGCAGUCUUGACGGUUCUAGGAUGAAUGCAAAUAAAGACUGACCACCUGACUUCAGCGGUCCAGUCUCUUGUGGGAAGCAGCUGUUUGUUACCCCAAAUACGGAUGAAGAGUGACGAAGAGGAUGAUGACUUUUUUUCUCAAACAUCAUCUGAAGAUCUUGACAGGCUGGAGACAAAAUGAACAGACUGAGGGUUUAUACAAAGAAUCUUACUCAGCCAAUAUUAAAGAUAAGAUAUUUUUACAAAAUGUUAUUUUCAUUGUUUAGGAUGAUUUUAUGUAGAAAACAAUACAUCACAAAAAAGACUUUAGCUGGGUUUACACAGGCAGUGCCUUACACACACACUAACCACAAUUAUAAACGCAACACUAACACAGAUUUAGACAGAUUUGUGAAUAAUAUUUGAGAGAAAUAGGCCUUUUGGGGACAUAGAAAAUAUUUAAGUUCAGCUCAUGAAAUGAAAAAUGGGGGCAAACAUUUUUUUUAACAAGUGCAAUACAAAUAUCAACCAUAAUACUGAUCGUUUUAAAAAAAAGUAAGUCACUAUAUCUUUCUAGAAUCUUACACAAGACUCAGUUACAUGAACGAUCAAAAUAAAUUAACGUCAGACAGGUGGGCGAAAUAUCAAUAUUAAAGCAUGAAUAACUGUUAUCAACCCAAUUUCAAUGUAUUAUUUAAAUGAUCCCACACCAAACAGUUUAUUAUUUAAAUGCAUUAUUACUACAUACCUUAAGCAUGUGUUCCACGCCUUUCUUCUUCUUGGCGUUGCGAGGUCAAGCGGAUGUUGUUAUGUAGAAUCACGACCUUGACGUAAAGACGCACAUCCGUAAUUUAUUUAACAAUGAUAACACUUUCGGGAAAUUUUAUCUUCUAGAUCCUAAUUAAAGCUAUAAAGAAAGAGCAGCCUAUCACGAUUAUUUCCUGGUAAGUUUUUGAAAUGUUUUAUUUUAGAAUGGAGAUUAAUAAAGCAGACGCGGAAAGGUUUUGAUUAUUUUAAAUAUGUUUAUAUGUUGUUGUUUUCGCAUACUGUCAUGUCAAAAAUAUAUUUAAAGAUAAAUGAAUGAAAGAUUUCAUUGUUUAAUUUGAAUAAAUGUGUUUUAUAAAAUCAACAACUGCCUGUUUUAAGAUCAAUUGAAAAUGCUGUUUUAAUUACUUAAUAUCGAUGACACAGCUUGCAUGUGUAGAUGUGUGUAGAAAUAAUUUGCUGUAGUUUAGGGCAGUUCAAUUUGUUAAUGAGGGAUCUUGUAAUCUUACAAACAUCUGGGAAAGAGCGGCUUACCGUCUUUCUAAGCUCUUCUAAAGAUCUGGGAAAGAGCGGCUCCGCAUCUUUUAAAGCUCUUAUAAAGAUCUGUGAAAGAGCGGCUCCGCAUCUUUUAAAGCUCUUCUAAAGAUCUGUGAAAGAGCGGCUUGCCGUUCUAACAUCUUGUAAAGAUCUGGGAAACGGCGGCUCGCCAUCGUUCUAAAUCACAUACAUCUUGUAAAGAUCUGCUGGGUGUCUUGCAAACAGCUGGGUCGGACGUCUCGGCGACGCCUUCCAGAUGAGCAAACGCCCUAAAUAAUACGUCUUCCAGACGAAAAACAAGACAUCGCGCAGACAUCUCCGCGACGUACGUGUGCUAUCUGGGUAGUUGUUAACUUCUAAUAUUAGCUUAAGUAAAAGUUUUGUCAUUCAGGGUAAUGUUUUGUCAUUCGGUGUAAUGCAAAUUGUAUGUUACACCACAGUGUCAUCCUGAAUGAUAGUGUCACUGUUUAGAUAACAUUUUUAGCAUUUUAUUUCUAUUUCAGAUAAAUGAGGGAUGUUUAGCACAAAAAAAUAUAUCAAACUUUAUCAAUAUUAAUGUUUUAAUGUAUUUUUGUCGUUUUGGCACUGAUUUCUUUUAGAUGCCCACAAACAAAGAGAAAGUUUCUAGGCACUGGCAGAAAGUUAAUGCAGACCCAGUAGCUAGGGCAAUGCAUUUAGCAAGGAGACGAGAAAAGUAUUGAGGAGUGCAAUUAAAAAUAAUAGGGCUGGGUUUAAAAGAUAGAUUUCUCGAUUUUAAUCAAUUCUAAUUUUGAAGAAACAAUAGUGAUUUGUAAAUCCCAAUAAUCAAUCUUUCAGUCUAUGCUGUUUUCAGAUGAUGUUAAUCAAUAUCAAAUUGAUUUGAAAUUGAAUCAAAUCGUGAAAUUUGUGUCCAAGCCUAGCCCUACAGAAUAAUAGUUUACUGCUGUUUUUAGAUAGAGACUCCACCCUACCUAUACCACAAGUUAAAGGGAUAGUUCACCCAAAAAUGAAAAUUUGGUCAUUAUUCACUCACUCUCAUGUUGGUAAAAACCUGUAUGAUUUUUUUUGUUCUGAUAAACACAAAGGAAGAUAUUUUGAGUAAUGUUUGUAACCAAACCGUUCGUGGACCCCAUUUACUUCCAUAGUAUUAUUUUUAGUAUCAUAGUAUGGGGUCCACAAAAGGUUUGGUUACAAACAUUUCUCAAAAUAUCUUCCUUCCAUUUAUGCGGGUUUGAAACAACACGAGAGUGAGUAAAUGAUGACAGAAUUUUCAUUUUUGGGUGAACUAUCCCUUUAAGAGAGGCCACUGAGGGGAUUCUCCGCCCAUAAUACAAAUCCUGAUAACAUGUCAUUUAUGUUGCCAAACAGAAAGUAUUUUUAAUUAAUAACACGUUUUAUAUAGAUCUGUCAAUAAUUUUAUGUCAAUAAUUACAUGGAAUCUGUAUUUCAGCAACCAGAGAAGAAAGCAAGCUGCCUUGGCUGCAAAUCCUGAUCACCUGUCAAUCAGGAAUUUAUCAGAUGCUGCAGCUGAGAAGAGGCGAAAGCAAUGGCGGGAAAAUCAAAGAAAACACAGGGCAGAAGCUAAACGUAUAAGGGCAGUUCUGGAUCUUAUUAUACAGUAUUACCACCUGUUCAGUUAAUUUUUACGAAUAUGAUAUGCAUUAUGGAAUAAAAAUGAUUAUUAAUUUCA